GUUGCUAUCAGCUUCCACCAAGGUCACAUCAUUAUUCCAAUUUCUUUCUGCCGUUUUCAGAAUUAGAGGACUGCAGGAAGGAUGGCUGUAAUAAGGCUGAUGCUGCAUGGAGAUGUAGUUUGCAGUGGAUGGAAACGCUUGGUAACCAUAUGCAGAGACAUAAGGAGUGGGAGGAAAUGCAUUUGUUACAGACAAAUAUACCAUAGGCAAGAAAUCAUUUGCUGUUUGUGGUGAGAAACAUACGACAUGGGGCUUGAUUUUUGUAACAGAAUUUGGUACCAGAACCAUUCAUUACUUGUUUAGGGACUUUUAGGAUAUCUG
rnacentral:misc_RNA from 1 species